AUGGGUUCAAUGGGGCCUGCCGCCGGGAAGCCGCACGCGGUGUGCCUGCCGUACCCGGCGCAGGGGCACAUCACGCCGAUGCUCAACGUGGCCAAGCUGCUCCACGCCCGGGGCUUCGACGUCACCUUCGUCAACACCGAGUACAACCACGCCCGCCUCGUCCGCUCCCGCGGCCCUGCCGCCGUGGCCGGCCUCCCGGGCUUCCGCUUCGCCACCAUCCCCGACGGCCUGCCGCCGUCUGACGACGACGACGUCACGCAGGACAUCCCCGCGCUCUGCAAGUCCACCACGGAGACCUGCCUCGGCCCCUUCCGCGACCUCCUCGCGCGGCUCAACGACCCCGCCACCGGCCACCCGCCCGUCACCUGCGUCGUCUCGGACGUCGUCAUGGGGUUCUCCAUGGAGGCCGCCAACGAGCUCGGCCUUCCCUAUGUCCAGCUCUGGACCGCCAGCGCCAUCAGCUACCUCGGGUACCGCCACUACCGCCUCCUCAUCAGCCGUGGCCUCGUGCCACUUAAAGACGCCGAGCAGCUGGCGAAUGGAUACCUUGACACGCCGGUGGAAGAAGUGCCGGGGCUGAGGAGCAUGAGGCUCAGGGACUUCCCGUCCUUCAUACGCACCACGGACCCGGACGAGUACAUGGUGCACUACGUCCUCAGGGAGACGGAGCGCACGGCUGGGGCGUCGGCCGUCAUCCUCAACAGCUUCGGCGACCUGGAGGGCGAGGCGGUGGAGGCUAUGGAGGCGCUCGGCCUGCCCAAGGUCUACACCCUCGGCCCACUCCCUCUGCUGGCGCACGAGGAGCCGCCCACGCCGCGCUCCGCCAUCAACCUUAGCCUCUGGAAGGAGCAGGACGAGUGCCUCGAGUGGCUGGACGGCAGGGAGCCCGGCUCGGUCGUGUACGUCAACUUCGGCAGCAUCACCGUCAUGACCAACGCGCAGAUGGUGGAGUUCGCGUGGGGGCUGGCGCAGAGCGGGAAGCAGUUCAUGUGGAUCGUCCGCCGAGAUCUGGUGAAGGGCGACGCCGCGGUGCUCCCCGAGGAGUUCCUGGCAGAGACGGCGGGGCGCGGGCUCAUGGCGUCCUGGUGCCCGCAGCAGGAGGUGCUGAACCACCCCGCUGUUGGAGCGUUCCUGACGCAUAGUGGCUGGAACUCGGCGCUGGAGAGCUUGUGCGGCGGCGUGCCGGUGAUCAGCUGGCCGUUCUUCGCCGACCAGCAGACCAACUGCAGGUACCAGUGCAACGAGUGGGGCGUCGGCAUGGAGAUCGACAGCAACGUCCGACGCGACGCCGUCGCGGGGCUCAUCACGGAGAUCAUGGAAGGGGAGAAGGGGAAGAGCAUGAGUAAGAGAGCGCAGGAGUGGAAGGAGAGCGCGGUCAAGGCGGCCAUGCCCGGCGGCUCGUCUCACCGAAACUUCGACCACCUGGUCAGCGACGUGCUCCUGCCCAAGUACUAG
rnacentral:rRNA from 1 species